CUUGGCUACUUUUGUUGUCACAGGUGCCAGCGGAACGCCACCGACAACAAUCACCCCGACAAUAGCCGAGUUAUCGGUUUCGCGGGGGUGAGCGAGACGAGAAAUGGAAGGAGUGGGGUCUCGACUGGGUCGUGCCUCUUCUCGAUACGGCCCAUCAGCGACUGCUGCUGUGUUCAACGGCCCUGUGAGGAAAUGGAGGAAGAAGUGGGUCCACGUGUCCCCAUCUUCCACCGUUAGUCACCACAACUCCCACCCCCAUUCCAACGGCCACACCAAUAACAGCUCUCGUCUCCUCCUUUGUCGGUGGACUCCUCUUUCCCCCGCCGCCGCUGCCGAUGCCUCCUCCUCCGAGGAGCCUCCCAAACGCAAGUUCCGCUACACUCCGGUGUGCUCUCUCUCUCUCUCUCCGUGUCUCAUGUAAAUUGUUUUGCUUUUUCUCAUGGUUUAAUUUUGAAGUGGAUGUACUAGAAAAUAUGUAAAUGGGUUACCUUUAUUCCAGCUUAUCAGUUAUCUGUUUAACUGCUCGUUGAGUUCAUUUUGCUGGACUCUGUUAUAGUAUGAGACUAGGGUUUAACUUGUGUUUUCAUUUGGUGGUCAUUAGCAAAAGCAUUCUAGCUCGUCAUUUCUGCACUGAAAUAAUUUCAUGAAGUGGUUGUAGAUUAGAGAGAGAUCAUUCAAUUUGAUGUCAUUCUAUUUCUUAAGUUGAACAUGGUUUGAUUGCUUUCGUGCCUCAAGAUUGCGGUGCUAGAAGAACGGAGGAAGGCCGCCAAAAAGGUUGAUCAUGAAGCUAAGGCAGGCAGUAUCAACCAGUUCACAGAACUGCCAACCUCAAAGAACGAUGAGCAAACUAGUGACACUGCUUUGAAGACUGAAACACAGGUACCGUUUAUAAAAUUUGAGUAACUAUUUACCGUUUGUGAUUCUUCUUACUGGCUUGGCUUUUAUACACACACUACUAUUUUAUCUAUUUGCCUUUUCUUUUUUGCUUCAUUGUGCUUGUGGUUCAGAAUUGUAGUUCAUCUUGCUUCAUGGGAAUGGGAAUGGGAAUGGGAUGGUUUCAUAUUCCGGAUUCGUUUCUUUUACGUUUCUAUUUAUGAUAUCAUAAUUGUACAUAUGCUCAACCGCACUUAUUUAAAGGAAAGAAGAAAAGGCCAGAAUGUUACCAGGUCUAUGUAUAUGCUCAAGAAUGAGAAUUUUACUAUUGUUAUUGAUUUUUAUCAUUUUCUAAUUUCUAUGCUUAUGAGAAGAAUUUCCAUUUUGCUGAAUUAUUACAUGUUUAUUGUGGUUGAAAAAUGUAUGAAAUGAGAUGUGAUUAAAUGAAUAAACAGGUUUUCUGGACCAAUUCCUUCUUGUUUGUUGAGGAUUAGUUUGAUAUUUGAUAAUAUGGCAUAUUUUCUUAUUACUAGCCAUGGGUUCUCUCACUAGGCAUGAUAACAGAAUAACUAAUCUCUUCAUGGUUUGUGCGGUACAAAAUUUUGCAUCCAUGAUGAAUAUUGUUGACGAGACCCUAUCAAAUACUUUACUCUUGGAUUUUAAUGUAGUCAAAUAUUUUUUAGGCCCUUCAUUGAGAAAAAUGUUAAAUUUUUUUAUCAUUUAAUUUAUCAAUAGAAUCCAUAUUUUUAUCCUUUCUUUGGGCACAACUUCAACAGAAUUUUUCAAUGUCAUGCUAGCAAGCAGGAUCGAUCAUUAUCAAGCUUGUUUGUUGCAUACACAUGACUAGCAAGCAUUGCGAGAUAUCUUCACCUGUUAGCAAUCUAGCACAUAGAAGUCAUGUUUAAGAAUGUCUUGGACACUGAAUUUUUUAUUUUUUUUUUCUUGUGGUACUUUGGAAAUUGUUGAAGUGGUCUGAAUUUUGAACCCUUGAUUUUGACCUUUUUUACUACGAGGCAAGCACUCGUCGUUGGCUUCUGCCCCAGUGGCUAUGUUGAGUCUAUUCAAAUCAACUCUGAAAGUAGUGGGAAUUAAACAAGAGUCUUUCUUCCUUACAGGAUUCGAGCACAAGUAAUCUGGAUUUGGGCUUGUGCUUGAAAGGCCACAAUGGUGACCAUGAUAAUAACCUUGGCCAGAGCAAAGAGGGUGAAAUGAAGAAAGCAAGCGCCGGUGGGUUUUGGACGACUAGUUGACACCCAGCAGACCCUUAAAACAGAAGAAGCUGGUUAGGUAUGCACUGGUAUGAAGUCUCAAUUGGGCGACUCAUUUUGAUGAUUAUGGCGAACGAUACAGUUUAUGUUGUAGAAGAAGCAACAUUGCUUCAUCUUGUAAUUGAUUGUAGGGCAUGUCUGCAGUUACUAGAUGAAUGUUUUAUGUCAAUUAAUGGCAUUUGUACGCAAUGGAAAACCAUCUGAUCCUAAACUUAUUUUACCACCCCACUAGUAUUAGCAAGUUUACAGUAACACUGUUCGUAUGAUUUUUCAUCCAUCGUCUCACAAUUUUAAGGGUUUCAUCACUCACUCUGAUUAGAUUAAGUUAACAACUUUAAUUUGUUAAAAAAAAAUCACUCCUUUAAUUUCAU
rnacentral:misc_RNA from 1 species